UCCGGUUUGUCACCGGCAGUCUCCCAUGAGUCCCCAACUUAAUGCUGGCAACAUGGAACGGGGGUUGCGCUCGUUGCGGGACUUAACCCAACAUCUCACGACACGAGCUGACGACAGCCAUGCAGCAUCUGUGUGGCACCCUCGAAGGUCAUACGUUUCCGUGCGCUUGCAGCCACAUGUCAAGCCCAGGUAAGGUUUUUCGCGUUGCAUCGAAUUAAAGAACAUGCUCCGCUGCUUGUGCGGGCCCCCGUCAAUUCCUUUGAGUUUCAGCCUUGCGGCCGUACUCCCCAGGCGGGGCACUUCAUGCGUUAGCGCCGGUACUCCAAGGGUCGCUCCCAGGAGCACCUAGUGCCCAUCGUUUACGGCGUGGACUAC
rnacentral:misc_RNA from 1 species